UCACGUUGUCGGUUGGGCGUGACCCCUCGAACUCGUAGGCACAGCCCUAUCUCGCAACCCCUAGAGCC
rfam:Leptomonas seymouri strain ATCC 30220 Lsey_0255, whole genome shotgun sequence.